UUCUUCUACAAUUCAAGGUUUUGUUCGAGAAUUACUACCACAACAGGAAUUUGGAAUUCCAAUAGAAGACAUCUGCAAUAGGCAAAAUACUAAGAACAUGACACAAUUAUUACAAACGUUGGACCCUAACUUCUACCAGGGCUAUGAUUUGAUGUCUUCAAGUUCAA